UACGGAGGGUGCAAGCGUUACUCGGAAUCACUGGGCGUNAAGGNCGCGUAGGCGGGUUGUCAAGUUCUGAGUGAAAUCCAACGGCUCAACCGUUGAACUGCUUGGAAAACUGGCAGCCUAGAGUGAGGGAGAGGCAGAUGGAAUUGGUGGUGUAGGGGUAAAAUCCGUAGAGAUCACCAGGAAUACCCAUUGCGAAGGCGAUCUGCUGGAACUCAACUGACGCUGAGGCGCGAAAGCGUGGGGAGCAAACAGGAUUAGAUACCCUGGUAGUCCACGCCCUAAACGAUGAACACUAGUUGUUGCCUUGCACGUCAAGGCAGUAAUGCACCUAACGGAGUAAGUGUUCCGCCUGGGGAGUACGGUCGNAAGAUUAAAACUCAAAGGAAUAGACGGGGACCCGCACAAGCGGUGGAGCAUGUGGUUUAAUUCGAAGAUACUCGAAAAACCUUACCUGGCCUUGAUAUCCCAAGAAUCCUGUAGAGAUACGGGAGUGCUUGCUUGCAAGAACUUGGUGACAGGUGCUGCACGGCUGUCGUCAGCUCGUGUCGUGAGAUGUUGGGUUAAGUCCCGCAACGAGCGCAACCCUCGUGUUUAGUUGCUAACAGUUCGGCUGAGCACUCUAAACAGACUGCCUUCGUAAGGAGGAGGAAGGUGAGGACGACGUCAAG
rnacentral:rRNA from 1 species